GUAGGGGCCAAGCGUUGUCCGGAUUUACUGGGCGUAAAGAGCGUGUAGGCGGCUAGACAGGUCUGUUGUGAAAACUGGAGGCUUAACCUCCAGACGUCGCCAGAAACCGUUUGGCUAGAGUCCGGAAGAGGAGAGUGGAAUUCCUGGUGUAGCGGUGAAAUGCGCAGAUAUCAGGAAGACCACCAAUGGCGAAGGCAGCUCUCUGGGACGGUACUGACGCUGAGACGCGAAAGCGUGGGGAGCGAACAGGAUUAGAUACCCUGGUAGUCCACGCCGUAAACGAUGGGUGCUAGGUGUGGAGGUGUCGACUCCUCCCGUGCCGCAGCUAACGCAUUAAGCACCCCGCCUGGGGAGUACGGCCCCAAGGCUA
rnacentral:rRNA from 1 species